rnacentral:lncRNA from 1 species
GUUCUUGUUGACUCCAACACAUGCAAACUGUGCUGCAGGUAGACAUACUGGGACUGCUGCUCUUAGUAGCAGUAGCUGUCAUGUUCCUCACUGUCCCCCAAACAAGGAGACUCCUCCUCGCAAAGCUGGUAACAGAUCUCACGGACACAACCAAUACAAAAACGUUCUGAUGAUCACAAAUUUUUCAGCAAAAUUUCAAAUGUCUGUUUCACUUACAUUCUACUUUUGAACUUUUUAUAGUUUCUCUUUCAAAAAGUCAUAGCCUUAAAAUCCUCAUGUAUAAACUCUAAACUUUUCCUAGGAACACUGCUCCUGGUACACAUUGCAUUGCAGAGGAAGGGGAUAGCGAAGGAAGCAGAAAAUGCUACACCACAAACAAAACCUACGUCAUUACUGGCUUCAUUCCAUAAUAUUACAGAUGCUAAGCUAGAAUUUAAUACACAGUCGGAGAGGGACGGGGCCUCAAGGAAGUCAGUGGGAAAGGAAGACAUCAGGAUUGCGGCUGGAGGUGCAUGUGAGGAAGGCCGGGGCUCAGGAUGAAGAUGCGGUGGCCAGGCCUACGUGCCUCCCUGAGGAAAUCAUGCUGUGAUUAGCACCACCUGGUCAGGAAGUCCAGUAGGCAUCAGCUGCCCAGGUGGGUGACCAGGGCAUCUGACUCCAUCCCUUCCCAAAAUGCCUUUGUUCUUUCCAUGUACGCUUGCUAUGUGAACCACUCCCCUACCGGAUCAAUAUUAGCUAAGCGACUGUACUCGUAACCCUAGAGGUUGAUGGUAGUUUGACCCAUACUGUAACUUUGCUGUAUAAAUUAGCCCUGAAAAGGUACCUGGCCACCCCACUCAGCACCCCUCCUAGAAAGCCAGGAGCUAUUCUUCUGUCCUUAUUUCCACUAAAACUCUCCUAACUUCUUCCUUCGGUUCAUUACGUCAUUCCCUGGUGUUAUGGGACCACCAACUCAGCACAUUUGAUGUCUAGCAGAUCAGGAGUUAUAUUUCCCCUAUGUCAGUAACUUUUCUUAUUCUGCAUCUACCAUUCUUUCAAAAUGGUUCCAUUACUAUCAUCUAUGUGCCACUCCAGAAUUAGCUAAUUCAAUUCAGUGAAGAGAGAACGGUGGGCUCUGGCUGCAUCCUAAGUAUACCAACAUGUUUAUGUACACAUUUGCACAUCCUGACAUUU